UACGGGGGGGGCAAGCGUUGUUCGGAAUUACUGGGCGUAAAGGGCUCGUAGGCGGUUUGUCACGUCGGGAGUGAAAACUCGGGGCUUAACCCCGAGCCUGCUUCCGAUACGGGCAGACUAGAGGUAUGCAGGGGAGAACGGAAUUCCUGGUGUAGCGGUGAAAUGCGCAGAUAUCAGGAGGAACACCGGUGGCGAAGGCGGUUCUCUGGGCAUUACCUGACGCUGAGGAGCGAAAGCGUGGGGAGCAAACAGG
rnacentral:rRNA from 1 species